rnacentral:tRNA from 1 species
GUCAGGAUGGCCGAGCGGUCCAAGGCGCUGUGUUCAGGUCGCAGUCCACUCUGUGGGCGUGGGUUCGAAUCCCACUCCUUAC